rnacentral:rRNA from 1 species
GGUGAACCUGCGGAGGGAUCAUUACCGAGUUUACAACUCCCAAACCCAAUGUGUACGUUACCAAACUGUUGCCUCGGCGGGAUCUCUGCCCCGGGUGCGUCGCAGCCCCGGACCAAGGCGCCCGCCGGAGGACCAACCAAAACUCUUAUUGUAUACCCCCUCGCGGGUUUUUUUUAUAAUCUGAGCCUUCUCGGCGCCUCUCGUAGGCGUUUCGAAAAUGAAUCAAAACUUUCAACAACGGAUCUCUUGGUUCUGGCAUCGAUGAAGAACGCAGCGAAAUGCGAUAAGUAAUGUGAAUUGCAGAAUUCAGUGAAUCAUCGAAUCUUUGAACGCACAUUGCGCCCGCCAGUAUUCUGGCGGGCAUGCCUGUCCGAGCGUCAUUUCAACCCUCGAACCCCUCCGGGGGGUCGGCGUUGGGGAUCGGCCCUGCCUUGGCGGUGGCCGUCUCCGAAAUACAGUGGCGGUCUCGCCGCAGCCUCUCCUGCGCAGUAGUUUGCACACUCGCAUCGGGAGCGCGGCGCGUCCACAGCCGUUAAACACCCAACUUCUGAAAUGUUGACCUCGGAUCAGGUAGGAAUACCCGCUGAACUUAAGCAUAUCAAUAAG